rnacentral:rRNA from 1 species
AUGGCAACCGUCCAGCAGAUCCGUCACGCGCAGCGCUCGGACGGCCCGGCGGCCGUGCUUGCAAUCGGCACAGCGAACCCGGCGAGCUGCAUGCUCCAGAACGACUACGCCGACUACUACUUCCGCGUCACCAACAGCGAGCACCACGCCGACCUCAAGGACAAGCUCAAGAGAAUCUGUAAGAAUUCGGGCAUCGAGAGGCGCUACGUGCACCUCGACGAGGAGCUCCUCGGCGCGCACCCGGACUUCAGCGACCGCGCGCUGCCGACCCUCGACGCGCGGAUAGACAUGGCCUCGGCCGCGGUGCCCGAGCUCGCCGCGUCCGCCGCGGCCAGGGCCAUCGCCGAGUGGGGGCGCCCGGCCGCCGACGUCACGCACCUCGUCUUCAGCACCUACUCCGGCGGGAAGGCCCCCAGCGCCGACCUCCGCCUGGCGUCGCUGCUCGGCCUCCGCCCCACCGUGUCCCGCACCAUCCUCAGCCUCAACGGCUGCUCCGGUGGCGGCAGGGCGCUGCAGCUCGCCAAGGAGCUCGCCGAGAACAACCGCGGCGCGCGCGUCCUCGUGGCCUGCUCCGAGCUCACCCUCAUCGGGUUCUACGGGCCCCAGGAGGGUCGCCUCGACACCAUCCUGGGCAACGGCAUAUUCGGCGACGGCGCGGGCGCCGUCAUCGUCGGCGCC